rnacentral:rRNA from 1 species
GGGCCCCCUUUCGGGGGCGGCACCUGGUUCUGGGGAUCAGCGGCCCUUCGGGGCCCCUGUCCCCCAAAUUGAGUGGCGGUCGCGCCGCAGCCUCCCCUGCGUAGUAGCACACCUCGCACCGGAGAGCGGCUCGGCCACGCCGUAAAACCCCCAAUUUUUACAGGUUGACCUCGGAUCAGGUAGGAAUACCCGCUGAACUUAAGCAUAUCAAUAAGCGGAGGAAAAGAAACCAACAGGGAUUGCCUCAGUAACGGCGAGUGAAGCGGCAACAGCUCAAAUUUGAAAUCUGGCCGCAAGGUCCGAGUUGUAAUUUGCAGAGGAUGCUUUUGGCGAGGUGC